UUCGUGUCUAUAGCAAAAAAAGGAAAGAAGAUUCAAACACCGAGAAAAAUACCAACCAAUCUACAAGUUCUCUGACCUCAGAAGGUAACAACAAUGUACCUACCUCGCACGCAGAAGGGGAAAGUUCAGUAACAGAAGAUACUACAUAUGAAACAGGGAAUGAAAAUCGCAGGAAUCAAAGACAACUUACUUUAUCUUCAAAGAGAAAAAAACGAGUAGUGAACAUUGGACUCCUGAAUUGGAAUAUUAAAAGGUCAACUUAUAAAACAAACAAAACAUGUGAAGAUGUUCCUCUGUCUAACGAUCAGCAAUAUGCGAACGCAAGGUAACGAGCAUUAUUAUUAAUACUACUUUUUUUUAAUUUGAAGUAAUUUUAUGCAAAACUAUUUCUCCUAGAGAUACUUUGGUCACGAGUAAUAUAUAUGAAUUUGAUGAACCAGACGAAGAGUCACCACCGAAUCAAACAAUCAUUCAGCAUGAGUAAUAAUUAUUUACUAUACAUAAUAACAAAUGUGUGCAAUCCUUAUUUUUAUUUUUAAGGGAGCCUAUCACUGAUUUAGAAAAUAUGGUUGUCGAACAAA